rfam:Triticum aestivum genome assembly, contig: Triticum_aestivum_CS42_TGACv1_scaffold_641488_T_1DL-0.200696_2DL-0.128977
ACAUUACUCCCUUCGUUUCAAAUUACUAGUCGCAGAAAUGGAUGUAUCUAGAAGUAAAAUACAUCUAGAUACAUCCAUUUCUGCGACGAGUAAUUCGGAACGGAGGGAGUAGAUU